ACGAUGAUACUUUAUCAAUUUCAGCUUGGACCAUUCCACUUAGCAAGGUGUUCAUGGCUCUUGAGUUGUAGGAAAACAUAUAGCUUUCGUUUGCAUCCAUCUCCAUGAGAGCAUUUGGUUUGCCAUCAUCAUGUCUAGGAAUGAUAGGUCCAUUUUCAACAACCCACCAUUCCCAUUGGUCUCUUUUAAGAAAAAUCUUAAUUCUGAACUUCCAAAAGUUAAAGUUCACUUCCGAACAGCAGUGGCCUACUUGUGGACUGGCCUUCUUGAAAGUUUAGGUGUGCCAUAGGAUCUUUCCCAACGACCUGCAAUGAUCAAUAUUAGUAGAGCCUUGCUUUGAUACCAAAUGUAAUUCUACGUAUGUGCACACCUAGAGGGGGGGUGAAUAGAUGUUUAUACUUAAAGUGAUAAACAGUGAAAUCUUUUUGAAAUUUUCCACUACAGGUAUAAUUUAGACAGCUACACCUGUCUGCUUUAACUUAAGUUCUUCGUUUAAUAUUAUCAGACAACUAGACAUGUCUGUUUUAGUGUCUGGAUUCUUGUAACUACAAACUAAUAAAGCAGAAUACCUAGAAAUUAUACAAACAGAGAGGUAAAGCGCAGAAACGUAAAGGCAUCGAGAUUUUUACGUGGUUCGGCCCCUAUCCUCUAUCUAGUAGCCUAAUCCACGUCCAAUCUCAACUAGGAUUGGAGACUCUUUUUAUUAAACUUAAUAUUCAAUUAAAUACAAUAAAAAGAACUCCCUGUUACAAAGAAGCUUUCAACUGAUGGACACCUCUGCACCCUAUGCACCUCUGCAACCUUUCUCACCACUGAGACCUUUGCACCUCUGCAACCUUGAAAGCUCUCUUUGAACAGAUCCUAUCUACUGCUAGAUAGACCAAGCCAAACAAGACUUGAAUUUUGAAUAUAAUAAAAGAAAUUACAAUAGACUUCUUAUUUUCCAGCCACAAAGAAUUAUAGACAGUACAAUGAAUAGAUGAAAAUAAACAAUGAAAGCUCUCAAUAAGAUUCUUCUCUGUAUAGCAACGUGAAUUAACUUCUUGUAUCCUCCUGUACUUAGCCGUGAAAAUAACACUAUAUAUAAAAAGAGACCCAACGGCUAUAAAAUAAUUGUUAGCAAUAAAUUAGAUGAUUUAAAUCUCAUAGCAAGAAAUCAGAUGAUAUAAAUCCCAUAAUAUUAGCUAUUAAUAUUGACCAACAGUUAUGAACAUAAGAUAGAAUAGGAAACUCAUAUCAAAGUUGGUAUACCCCAUGAUAUUAGCAAUUAAAGAGUCCAACAGAUUUGGUAAAUCAAGGAUAUGUUUUCAAGUCAAACCAAAACACCUUAAAUACAGGAACAAGGAGAUAUUUGAUAAAGUUUGUUACUAGCCAGUCACUAGAUAACAGGUGCCUUAUUUAGUUUCCUUUUCAAAUUGAAUUGCAUAUCAUUACUAAAUUAUAUUAAAGAUCUUUUCAACAACAUGCAACAUGCAAACUUAUAUAUAGAAGGAAUAUUUUAAUGGACCAUAAUUCCAAUCUUGGGCCACAAAAAAUCAACAUAUAAUAAAUUUAAAUCACCCCAAACAAUUUAAAUCAAAUUCAUAAACCCAAUAAUAUUGUCAUCAUUAAAAUCAUAUAAUAUAUAACCAACAUUAUCUCCCUUUUUGAUGAUGACAAUACAUAAUGCCAUUUAAUUAAUAUGUUCCCCCUAAGUAUAUGGCUCCACCUUAAUUUAUGCAUAUUAAGGAAACAAAUUCUAAAUUACCAUCAUUUGCAUAUUCAAGCACAAUAUAGUAUCUCAGUACCAUAUAUAUAUCUCCCCCUUUGUCAUCAACAAAAAGAAACCACAUUAAUCAUUAAGCACAAGUAUCUCUCCCCCUUUGUCAACAUUAAAAUAAUAAGUGCGAAGAUAAAAAAUAUCAUUGGAGCAAGUUUAUAACAAAACCACAUAUAGAAAGUAAACAAUAUAAUCAUACCUUUCCAUUGUGUUACCUAUAUAUCAACAUUUUGUUACCAGUAGAUAGCUUGAUAGUUGUGCUCUUUAAUGUAGAUUUGGAUUUUGUAUUUUCAGAAUCAAAAAACUCUUCAAUAGCACUUCUUUUGAUCAUCCCAAUGUUGAGAUCUUUAAAGCUCAGGUUAAAGGAUAAUUUUUCACUAUUAUGGUUGUUCUUGGAAGACUGCCAUUGGUCAUUUGUUCAUCUGAUUAACUUUCUGGAAUAUCAAAUUUUGCAUCAGAAUAUUCUUCUGAUUUGCCUUCAAAAAUAGACGGGCCGAGCUGUCUGGAUUUAGGUGUCUGCAUGUUUUCCUGGUUCAUCUAUUUUUUCUUCUGAUGCAAACGGCUUAGGCUGUCUGGAUUGAGCUGUUUUCAUUUCCACGUUCCACAUUACUUUUUCUUGCAAAAACCUCAUUCUCUUCUUUAAACAGAUCAGGGUCAAAAUUAUCAAAUAAAAUAUGAACAUAUUGCUCAACCUUUUAUCAAGAUUAUCAUGUAUAUUAAAUAUGGAGCAUUUGACAUAAUAAAUGAUGUUAUGAACCCUUAUAAUACGAAAGCCAGAGUUUUUAUAAUAAUAUAUCUAAUUAAAACUCUAUUUAAAAAACAACAUGAGGUACUUACAAAUUCCGCCAAAUAAUUUAUAGGUAACUUACUCUCUCAAAGUAAAGAAUCAUCCAUCUCCUUUUUGAUCUUGAGACACCUACAAACAAAUAGUCUCUAUCUUUUUGGUACCUAAAUCUUCUUGGGUCCUUUUGGGUUAGUAGCAUAUAAAUCACGUUUCUUUACCCAAAUUUGUUUUAUUCUAAUUUUAUUACAAUUAGAAUCAAAAUGUCCUUUAAAACCACAUUUUUUACAAGCAACAAAUGGUGAACAAUAAAGUAGUUUAUGCCUUGAUUUACUAUUAAUCAUUCUAAUAUUAUUAUUAGUCCUAUUUUCCACAUUUUGAAUAGGAUUAUACCCAAUCCCUUAUUUAUCAAGGCUGGACCUUUGUGCCCCUAACAUAACAUUUAGGUUCUCUUCUCCUUGCACAAAUUUAGCAAGAUCAUUUUUUAAAGAUGUUAUUUCUGCAUUUAUUACAUUAUCAUCAUGUUGAACAUUCAUCAUUUUUCCAUCAUUAAAAGCAUCUAUACAUACAUCUCUCAUUUUCAAAUUUUCUUUUUACACUUCAUUUUCAUUUUUAAGAUAUUCAUUUUCUUCUCUCUCUUUAAUAAGCGACUUAACUUCAUUCAUUAGAUCGUUUACACAAUUCUUAAAAUAGGCAAUUUUCUUUUUGAGCUGUUGAUUUUCAUUUUGUAAAGCAAUAUAAUCAGGCAUAGAUAUUUCAAAAGCUUCAUGAAAAUUUGUUACCUCAAGUUGAUUAUCAUCUUCUACUCCCAUGAAACAGAGUUGGACAGUUUCUUCUUGUUCCGCUUUGGACUUACUCACUGGAGUUGAGCUACCUUUUUGAUUUUUCCUUUAUUUCUUUCUUUUAAGUAGUCUCUCGGGUUUUCUUGACAGCAUUUCAAUUUCCUCAUCAAAAUCUUCGUGAUCACUUUCAUUGUUGCUCUCGAUUUGAAGUGCCAAUGUUUUCUUUAUUGAUGCUUCAUCCUCUUCAUCAUAUCUCCUGAGUUGAUUUUCAAAUUCUUCAAGCUCUCCAAACAAGGUAAGAGUUUCUAUGGUACUCAUUGUUGGUGAGUCUUGGAGAGUUGGGACUUUCGGAGCAAACUAUUUUGGCAUUACUCUUAGCAGCUUUCUAUUAAUUUCCCUCUGAUCAAUUUUUUGUCCCAGCAUACUUAGAGAGUUCAUUAAAGUAAGAAAUCUCCCUUGAGCUUCAAUAAUUGUUUCAUCUUUUUCUAAUUUGAAGAGUUCAUAUUCUUGCAUCAACAUACUUAGCUUGACUUCCUUCACCUAGUAGUUCCCUCGUGGCUCAUGAAGAUUGUAUCCCACAUUUCUUUUGUUGUAUUGCACGAUGAUACUUUAUCAAUUUCAGCUUGGACCAUUCCACUUAGCAAGGUGUUCAUGGCUCUUGAGUUGUAGGAAAACAUAUAGCUUUCGUUUGCAUCCAUCUCCAUGAGAGCAUUUGGUUUGCCAUCAUCAUGUCUAGGAAUGAUAGGUCCAUUUUCAACAACCCACCAUUCCCAUUGGUCUCUUUUAAGAAAAAUCUUAAUUCUGAACUUCCAAAAGUUAAAGUUCACUUCCGAACAGCAGUGGCCUACUUGUGGACUGGCCUUCUUGAAAGUUUAG
rnacentral:lncRNA from 1 species